CCUUGGCUCGCUGGCCUUGGCGGCGGCUCCUCAGGAGAGCUGGGGCGCCCACGAGAGGAUCCCUCACCCGGGUCUCUCCUCAGGGAUGACAUCAUCCGUCCACCUCCUUGUCUUCAAGGACCACCUCCUCUCCAUGCUGAGCUGCUGCCAAGGGGCCUGCUGCCCAUCUACACCUCACGAGGGCACUAGGAGCACGGUUUCCUGGAUCCCACCAACAUACAAAGCAGCCACUCACUGACCCCCAGGACCAGGAUGGCAAAGGAUGAAGAGGACCGGAACUGACCAGCCAGCUGUCCCUCUUACCUAAAGACUUAAACCAAUGCCCUAGUGAGGGGGCAUUGGGCAUUAAGCCCUGACCUUUGCUAUGCUCAUACUUUGACUCUAUGAGUACUUUCCUAUAAGUCUUUGCUUGUGUUCACCUGCUAGCAAACUGGAGUGUUUCCCUCCCCAAGGGGGUGUCAGUCUUUGUCGACUGACUCUGUCAUCACCCUUAUGAUGUCCUGAAUGGAAGGAUCCCUUUGGGAAAUUCUCAGGAGGGGGACCUGGGCCAAGGGCUUGGCCAGCAUCCUGCUGGCAACUCCAAGGCCCUGGGUGGGCUUCUGGAAUGAGCAUGCUACUGAAUCACCAAAGGCACGCCCGACCUCUCUGAAGAUCUUCCUAUCCUUUUCUGGGGGAAUGGGGUCGAUGAGAGCAACCUCCUAGGGUUGUUGUGAGAAUUAAAUGAGAUAAAAGAGGCCUCAGGCAGGAUCUGGCAUAGAGGAGGUGAUCAGCAAAUGUUUGUUGAAAAGGUUUGACAGGUCAGUCCCUUCCCACCCCUCUUGCUUGUCUUACUUGUCUUAUUUAUUCUCCAACAGCACUCCAGGCAGCCCUUGUCCACGGGCUCUCCUUGCAUCAGGACGAAUAAUUUAUGGUCAGUGAAAAUCCAGGCCCCAGUGAGAUUCGAGUGGGCUGUAAAAUCGAGAGUCCUGCUCCCACAGGUUCCCAGUGCCCCCGACAAGCCCCUGCUGGUGUCUCCAUCUCCUGCCAAGCAUCCUCCAGUGCCUCCUCCUGUGGGCCUGGCCUCAGGGCUAUGGACAGACUCCUGUCCCAUCCCAGAGACCCCUCGUGAUCGUGCCCUGGCACGUGGGCCGUGGCCCGGCUGGGUCGGCUGAAGAACUGCGGAUGGAAGCUGCGGAAGAGGCCCUGAUGGGGCCCACCAUCCCGGACCCAAGUCUUCUUCCUGGCGGGCCUCUCGUCUCCUUCCUGGUUUGGGCGGAAGCCAUCACCUGGAUGCCUACGUGGGAAGGGACCUCGAAUGUGGGACCCCAGCCCCUCUCCAGCUCGAAAUCCCUCCACAGCCACGGGGACACCCUGCACCUAUUCCCACGGGACAGGCUGGACCCAGAGACUCUGGACCCGGGGCCUCCCCUUGAGUAGAGACCCGCCCUCUGACUGAUGGACGCCGCUGACCUGGGGUCAGACCCGUGGGCUGGACCCCUGCCCACCCCGCAGGAACCCUGAGGCCUAGGGGAGCUGUUGAGCCUUCAGUGUCUGCAUGUGGGAAGUGGGCUCCUUCACCUACCUCACAGGGCUGUUGUGAGGGGCGCUGUGAUGCGGUUCCAAAGCACAGGGCUUG
rnacentral:lncRNA from 1 species